GGUUAAGCGACUAAGCGUACACGGUGGAUGCCCUGGCAGUCAGAGGCGAUGAAGGACGUGCUAAUCUGCGAAAAGCGUCGGUAAGGUGAUAUGAACCGUUAUAACCGGCGAUGUCCGAAUGGGGAAACCCAGUGCAAUUCGUUGCACUAUCGUUAACUGAAUACAUAGGUUAACGAGGCGAACCGGGGAACUGAAACAUCUAAGUACCCCGAGGAAAAGAAAUCAACCGAGAUUCCCCAGUAGCGGCGAGCGAACGGGGAGCAGCCCAGAGUCUGAAUCAGCUUGUGUGUUAGUGGAACGGUCUGGAAAGUCCGACGGUACAGGGUGAUAGUCCCGUACACCAAAAUGCACAGGCUGUGAACUCGAAGAGUAGGGCGGGACACGUGGUAUCCUGUCUGAAUAUGGGGGACCAUCCUCCAAGGCUAAAUACUCCUGACUGACCGAUAGUGAACCAGUACCGUGAGGAAAGGCGAAAAGAACCCCGGCGAGGGAGUGAAAAAGAACCUGAAACCGUGUACGUACAAGCAGUGGGAGCACCUUCGGGUGUGACUGCGUACCUUUGUAUAAUGGGUCAGCGACUUAUAUUCUGUAGCAAGGUUAACCGUAUAGGGGAGCCGCAGGGGAAACCGAGUCUUAACUGGGCGUUAAGUUGCAGGGUAUAGACCCGAAACCCGGUGAUCUAGCCAUGGGCAGGUUGAAGGUUGGGUAACACUAACUGGAGGACCGAACCGACUAAUGUUGAAAAAUUAGCGGAUGACUUGUGGCUGGGGUGAAAGGCCAAUCAAACCGGGAGAUAGCUGGUUCUCCCCGAAAGCUAUUUAGGUAGCGCCUCGUGAACUCAUCUUCGGGGUAGAGCACUGUUUCGGCUAGGGGUCAUCCCGACUUACCAACCCGAUGCAAACUACGAAUACCGAAGAAUGUUAUCACGGGAGACACACGGCGGGUGCUAACGUCCGUCGUGAAGAGGAAACAACCCAGACCGCCAGCUAAGGUCCCAAAGUCAUGGUUAAGUGGGAAACGAUGUGGGAAGGCACAGACAGCCGGGAUGUUGGCUUAGAAGCAGCCAUCAUUUAAAGAAAGCGUAAUAGCUCACUGGUCGAGUCGGCCUGCGCGGAAGAUGUAACGGGGCUAAACCAUGCACCGAAGCUGCGGCAGCGACACUAUGUGUUGUUGGGUAGGGGAGCGUUCUGUAAGCCUGCGAAGGUGUGCUGUGAGGCAUGCUGGAGGUAUCAGAAGUGCGAAUGCUGACAUAAGUAACGAUAAAGCGGGUGAAAAGCCCGCUCGCCGGAAGACCAAGGGUUCCUGUCCAACGUUAAUCGGGGCAGGGUGAGUCGACCCCUAAGGCGAGGCCGAAAGGCGUAGUCGAUGGGAAACAGGUUAAUAUUCCUGUACUUGGUGUUACUGCGAAGGGGGACGGAGAAGGCUAUGUUAGCCGGGCGACGGUUGUCCCGGUUUAAGCAUGUAGGCUGAUUGUCCGAGGCAAAUCCGGAUAAUCAAGGCUGAGGUGUGAUGACGAGGCACUACGGUGCUGAAGUAACAAAUGCCCUGCUUCCAGGAAAAGCCUCUAAGCAUCAGGUAACAUUAAAUCGUACCCCAAACCGACACAGGUGGUCAGGUAGAGAAUACCAAGGCGCUUGAGAGAACUCGGGUGAAGGAACUAGGCAAAAUGGUGCCGUAACUUCGGGAGAAGGCACGCUGGUGUGUAGGUGAAGUCCCUGCGGAUGGAGCUGAGACCAGUCGAAGAUACCAGCUGGCUGCAACUGUUUAUUAAAAACACAGCACUGUGCAAACACGAAAGUGGACGUAUACGGUGUGACGCCUGCCCGGUGCCGGAAGGUUAAUUGAUGGGGUUAUCCGUAAGGAGAAGCUCUUGAUCGAAGCCCCGGUAAACGGCGGCCGUAACUAUAACGGUCCUAAGGUAGCGAAAUUCCUUGUCGGGUAAGUUCCGACCUGCACGAAUGGCGUAAUGAUGGCCGGGCUGUCUCCACCCGAGACUCAGUGAAAUUGAACUCGCUGUGAAGAUGCAGUGUACCCGCGGCAAGACGGAAAGACCCCGUGAACCUUUACUAUAGCUUGACACUGAACAUUGAGCCUUGAUGUGUAGGAUAGGUGGGAGGCUUUGAAGCGUGGACGCCAGUCUGCGUGGAGCCAACCUUGAAAUACCACCCUUUAAUGUUUGAUGUUCUAACGUUGGCCCCUGACCGGGGUUGCGGACAGUGUCUGGUGGGUAGUUUGACUGGGGCGGUCUCCUCCCAAAGCGUAACGGAGGAGCACGAAGGUUAGCUAAUCCCCGGUCGGACAUCAGGAGGUUAGUGCAAUGGCAUAAGCUAGCUUGACUGCGAGCGUGACGGCGCGAGCAGGUGCGAAAAGCAGGUCAUAGUGAUCCGGUGGUUCUGAAUGGAAGGGCCAUCGCUCAACGGAUAAAAGGUACUCCGGGGAUAACAGGCUGAUACCGCCCAAGAGUUCAUAUCGACGGCGGUGUUUGGCACCUCGAUGUCGGCUCAUCACAUCCUGGGGCUGAAGUAGGUCCCAAGGGUAUGGCUGUUCGCCAUUUAAAGUGGUACGCGAGCUGGGUUUAGAACGUCGUGAGACAGUUCGGUCCCUAUCUGCCGUGGGCGCUGGAGAAUUGAGGGGGCUGCUCCUAGUACGAGAGGACCGGAGUGGACGCAUCACUGGUGUUCGGGUUGUCAUGCCAAUGGCACUGCCCGGUAGCUAAAUGCGGAAGAGAUAAGUGCUGAAAGCAUCUAAGCACGAAACUUGCCCCGAGAUGAGUUCUCCCUGAGACUUUAAGUCUCCUGAAGGAACGUUAAAGACGAUGACGUUGAUAGGCCGGGUGUGUAAGCGCAGCGAUGCGUUGAGCUAACCGGUACUAAUGAACCGUGAGGCUUAACCUU
rnacentral:rRNA from 1 species